rnacentral:rRNA from 1 species
GACGAACGCUGGCGGCGUGCUUAACACAUGCAAGUCGAACGGAAAGGCCCUGCUUGCAGGGUACUCGAGUGGCGAACGGGUGAGUAACACGUGGGUGAUCUGCCCUGCACUUCGGGAUAAGCCUGGGAAACUGGGUCUAAUACCGGAUAGGAGCCAUUUUUAGUGUGAUGGUUGGAAAGUUUUUUCGGUGUAGGAUGAGCUCGCGGCCUAUCAGCUUGUUGGUGGGGUAAUGGCCUACCUAGGCGGCGACGGGUAGCCGGCCUGAGAGGGUGGACGGCCACAUUGGGACUGAGAUACGGCCCAGACUCCUACGGGAGGCAGCAGUGGGGAAUAUUGCACAAUGGGCGCAAGCCUGAUGCAGCGACGCCGCGUGGGGGAUGACGGCCUUCGGGUUGUAAACUCCUUUCGCUAGGGACGAAGCUUUUUGUGACGGUACCUAGAUAAGAAGCACCGGCUAACUACGUG